UACGGGGGGGGGCAAGCGUUGUUCGGAAUUACUGGGCGUAAAGGGCUCGUAGGCGGCCAACUAAGUCAGACGUGAAAUCCCUCGGCUUAACCGGGGAACUGCGUCUGAUACUGGAUGGCUUGAGGUUGGGAGAGGGAUGCGGAAUUCCAGGUGUAGCGGUGAAAUGCGUAGAUAUCUGGAGGAACACCGGUGGCGAAGGCGGCAUCCUGGACCAAUUCUGACACUGAGGAGCGAAAGCCAGGGGAGCAAACGGG
rnacentral:rRNA from 1 species